ACAGUCUCUGCCUCCUGAGUCCUGGGAUUAAAGGCAUGCACCACCAUGGCCUGAUAUUUUCAAGAACUAAUGAAUAAAUGAUGACCCUUGUCUCUGCACUUCAGUUUAAUGACAUAUAAAACUUUUAUAUUCCCUUUUUACAUUAGCUUUACCUAAAGCUCCAUCUCUUACCUGUUCCUCUGUAUUGCAUUUCCCAAAUAUGUGGUAUAUUGUUUGCUCUUAUUGCUUUCAUUCAUCUCAAGUGCUGCCCCUCCACUGCCGGCUGAUGGAAAUCUUUCCAUCCCAAAGCUCACCGAAGACACAUUCUUGUCCAGGAAGCCAUUCUUGUUCCCUCCCAGGCUGAAGGAACCUUCCCCUCGUCUAUUCCACCUGAGGAGUUUGGCCAUCUGCCCCUUCUUAUUUGCCUCCUGAAACUGGUUUAAUGUUUUGUAAUUUUAAUCAAUAAAACAUCCUUUGAUAAUUGGAAA